AGGUAGUUGGAAGAUGUAAAAUUCUCAAUUCUGCCAACUGAACAUAUACGAGAUUUUAAUGAGGAUAAAUAAUUAGCCGGCAUGGAGGAAACGGACCUUUAUUUGGUGGAGUGGCGACAAGAAGCCAAAAGACGGGUGGCCGGUCUAUGAAGCCUCCAUCAUCAAGCUAGCAGAAAUCCCACCUCUCCUUCUGGCUACAGAGCACUUACUUACCAAGCCCAUGAAAUCGAAUGCAGAUCUUCCUGAUGUGAGAUUUACAUAAAUAUGUCAAAGUCUCAACCUCAUGCUGCCUCCCC